rnacentral:rRNA from 1 species
GAACGCGAAGAACCUUACCAGGUCUUGACAUCCCUCUGACCGCUCUAGAGAUAGAGCUUUCCUUCGGGACAGAGGUGACAGGUGGUGCAUGGUUGUCGUCAGCUCGUGUCGUGAGAUGUUGGGUUAAGUCCCGCAACGAGCGCAACCCCUAUUGUUAGUUGCCAUCAUUCAGUUGGGCACUCUAGCGAGACUGCCGGUAAUAAACCGGAGGAAGGUGGGGAUGACGUCAAAUCAUCAUGCCCCUUAUGACCUGGGCUACACACGUGCUACAAUGGCUGGUACAACGAGUCGCAAGCCGGUGACGGCAAGCUAAUCUCUUAAAGCCAGUCUCAGUUCGGAUUGUAGGCUGCAACUCGCCUACAUGAAGUCGGAAUCGCUAGUAAUCGCGGAUCAGCACGUCGCGGUGAAUACGUUCCCGGGUCUUGUACACACC